GAUGAACGCUGGCGGCGUGCCUAAUACAUGCAAGUCGAGCGAACAGACGAGGAGCUUGCUCCUCUGACGUUAGCGGCGGACGGGUGAGUAACACGUGGAUAACCUACCUAUAAGACUGGGAUAACUUCGGGAAACCGGAGCUAAUACCGGAUAAUAUAUUGAACCGCAUGGUUCAAUAGUGAAAGACGGUUUUGCUGUCACGUAUAGAUGGAUCCGCGCCGCAUUAGCUAGUUGGUAAGGUAACGGCUUACCAAGGCAACGAUGCGUAGCCGACCUGAGAGGGUGAUAGGCCACCUUGGAACUGAGCCACGGUCCAGACUCCUACGGGAGGCCGCAGUCGGGAAUCUUCCGCAAUGGGCGAAAGCCUGACGGAGCAACGCCGCGUGAGUGAUGACGGUCUUCGGAUCGUAAAACUCUGUUAUUAGGGAAGAACAAAUGUGUAAGUAACUAUGCACGUCUUGACGGUACCUAAUCAGAAAGCCACGGCUAACUACGUG
rnacentral:rRNA from 1 species